UCAUAGCCUUAAAAUACAUACAGCACGAAUGUACCAGGGACUAGGGAGAAGGGAUCAUCUUGUUUGGCGAGACUCGCAAGUCGCAACUAUACUAGACUAUCCGUCCGAUUUAUAGGUCUGCGUUCUUCAUAUGUCUCCUUAUUUUGUUCCUUUCAUGUUAUGAAUCUCAAUAUAUAUUUGGUUCAGGUAGGUACUGUUUAACCGUUCAUAUCAAUUUUAGCUUUCUCUGUCAAAAAAUGAACAAGUAUGGCAGGUUUUAUGGUUAGUGUGCACUACUUGUGCUGCAUUUGUGUCUAAAUAAGAUUUUGAAAUCUGGGCUUUUGCUUAAAACAGUGAUUGACUGAUUCCAUUAGGAUUUGGUUGAACUUUUUGAUUUAGGGUGGGGAAGUGAUGGAUGAAGCUGUUCAUAUCAACAAGUUUCAUUGGAUGGAUUUGUGUAUUAAAUGUGAUAAGGGUGGGAAGUUGUUGACUUGUCACCAGAAUGGCUGUCCUGUGGUGGUUCAUGAGGAUUGUUUGGGUAGUGAAGCUCAAUUUGAUGAUAUUGGAAAUUUUUAUUGCCCGUAUUGUGUGUAUAAACAGGCUACUGAAGAUUUUACUCGAGCGCAGAGAGAGGUGGUUUUGGCGGAGAAAGUUUUGUCUAAGUAUUUAGACGGGGAAGGGUUAGGUACGGAGGCUUUUGGGACUGUAAAUGUGACUAAGAGCAGUGAUGUGGGUAAUUGGCGUGUUGAGUUGGAAAAAGAUUGCCACCAAAUGACAGGUCGUGGAUGUAUUAUAGGGGAUCAUGAAGCUGAUGUGAAUAAAGAGAGUGACGUGUUGCUUAACAGGUUUGGUGAUGAUGGCCGGAUAAGUGAUGAUAUUAAUCGGGUUAAGAGCUUGGAGAAGCAAAAUGAGUUGGAGGGUGGUGUUAGCAGAUGUGGUGAUGAAUGUUGCAGUGGAGGAGGUCAGGUAGAUCAACAGAACAUGGACAGAAGAUGUCAAUCUGGUGAUAAAAUACAAUAUGAUGCUAUCCUGACUGAUACACCUUCCAAACAACACCAGGAUGCAGGACAUUUGGAAGCACACAAAAUCAUGAAAGAGAGUGUAGAGGCAGUUGAAGAGAGUGAAGAAACGAUGGAUGAAAUACAGAAUCAGGAACAAGCGCACAAAAGUGGAAGAUGCCAAUCUGGUGAUAAAAUACAAUAUGAUGCUAUCCUGACUGAUACACCUUCCAAACAACACCAGGAUGCAGGACAUUUUGAAUCACACAAAAUCAUGAAAGAGAGUGUAGAGGCAGUUGAAGAGAGUGAAGAAACGAUGUAUGAAAUACCGAAUCAGGAACAAGCGCACAAAACCACAGAGAAAAUCAUGUGCAAAGAAUCUGCUCCGCAGGUGCAUACGGAAGCUAAAAGAAAAGUUGGAGAUACUACUGCUUCCACUUGCAUGGACAAUAAUACUAUCUCAGAGAAAGUAAUUGGAGCACAGCCACCAGGUGUUAAUGCCCCUAGCAGAUCGCUUAGGAAAAAUAAGUCGGUCCAUAUCGAAAAAGGUAGUACACGCUGCAAGCCUUCGAAAGUUGCAACGCCUCCUACAAUAUUCACAAAGUUACCAGCUCUUAAAGAGAAGCGCAAACGGUUAGCUUGGAAAGUGGAAGAGGAGGAGAUGCUGAAGGAUACACGACAUUUCGAAGCACACAAAAUCAUGAAAGAGAGUGUAGAGGCAGUUGAAGAGAGUGAAGAAACGAUGGAUGAAAUACAGAAUCAGGAACAAGCGCACAAAACCACAGAAAAAAUCAUGUGCAAAGAAUCUGCUCCGCAGGUGCAUACCGAAGCUAAAAGAAAAGUUGGUGAUACUACUGCUUCCACUUGCAUGGACGCCAAUACUAUAUCAGAGAAACUGAAUGAAGCAGAGACACCAGGUGUUAAUACCCCUAGAAGAUCGCCAAGGAAUAAAAAGUCAGUCCAUAUCGAAAAAGGUAGUACUCCCUGCAAGCCUUCAAAAGUUGCAAAGCCUCCUACAAUAUUCACAAAGUUACCAACCCAUAAAGAGAAGCGCAAACGAUUAGCUUGGAAAGUGGAAGAGGAGGAGAUGCUGAAGGUACUGUCUCUAGAUUAAGUUUUUGUCUGUUUUUGAACUACUGUGUAAUUACUGUGACUGUAGAAUUAGAUGAUGUCCCACUGUACUCAUGAAAUUUCUUGAAUAUUGUUGCUGCUUAAUAUCUUUGAGUAAUAUGGGAAGCCUCCUACCAGGACUAGCUACCUAUGUUGCCUGCACUCAGGUAUGUAGUGUCGGACACGACACAUAUCCAAGGCAAAACACUUUAACUCUGGAAUUUAUGGAAAUUGGUGAUACUAGGGCCUGACCUGAUUUUGGAUAAGAUAUCCUAGUAAUGAUUAAACAAAAAUGUAGAAUGGAAUCUGCGAAUUAGAAAUAAUCUUUUCUUAAACUGCCUAGGAGGCUUCUCAUAUUUCUUAUUCUCCUUUUCUUCUUCCUUUUCUCCGUAUUUUCUUUUGCAUUCUCAGUUCAUCUCUUAUGUGGUCUGUAAGUUGGUCAAAGGGUCCUACAUGUGGACAACAGAUGAGUCCUAGUAAUAUAGGUAAAGGUACACUUUCUUUACCAAUGAUGGUUUUGAUAACUUACAAGCAGAAUUCAUUUCUAUAGCAUAUAUAUUUCUUUUGGUUCGCAGAAAAUCUGCAUACUAAAGCUGAUUUUUGUCUUGCUUACUAUAAUUUUUACCGUCUACAGUAAAAAAAUAAGUGACGUGCAAUUUACUUUCUUUAAUAGUGGAAAAGUAGAAGACUUUAACUUGAUUCAUGAAUAUGUGAUAAAUAUAUGAGCUUAUUGCAAUUCGCACCCCUAGACUUCGGCCCAAAAACACUUUAGUAUGCAAACUUUGGAUAAUUGCACGUCGCCACCCACUGGUAUUUUGUGCACGGCAACAUGCACCCCUUCCGUCAAAAUUUAACGGUUCCGUUAAAAAAUUAAGGGCAAUUGUGGCAUUUAAAAAAUUAAAAUACAAACCCAUUAUUAAUGGCUUAAUUAGACAGUAUCUGUGUUCCAGCAUGAAGAAAGUUUCUAAAAUCAUCGAUUAUUUUGCUACCUCUGUCAACUUCUUCUAUCCUAGUCUCUGAAGAGCUGUCGUUUCUAGACCUUGGGGUGGCAGAUGAUUUACCAGAAGAUAGACCCAACCGAAGCUCAAGACCAUUGGUCAUCCUCCAUUUGGAAGUGACACAAAGUGUUCAAUAUGAUUCACAGAAAAUAAUCAAGUUUCAAAAUUGCAGCUUCAAGUGAAGCAUUACCUUGAUGGUCAACGAUGUCAACUUUGAAAGUCUACAGACCAUCAAAAUUGAACUGCGGCAUGAGAGAAAGCUUUAUUAAAGACUAACUUUAGUCUUU